UCCCGUCUUUCAUCACGUGUGACUGCUAAAGUAAUACUUUAGGAGUCGCCUAUAGCCUUGUACUGCUACAGGCAACACCUUUGCCAAAUUUUUUUUGACGGAAAGCAACUUUAUAAAAAAAAACCUAGAAACCUCAUUCAUUCCCCUAUUUUUUUUGUUCCUUCCUCUCAUCGCCUCCCUCAUUCAUUUUAUUUUCUUCAAUCCUUAAUCUUACGAACUUCAAGUUCUUCCUCCUCAACCACCACCACCGACGUCGGUUUUGAGGUUUUGUCGAUAAAAUUGGCUCCUCAAUUCAUAAAUCCCGCAUCAAAUUGUUCGCGGCAAAGUCCCAAAUCAGGGGACUUUCGUGCUCUUCGGCGAAGGAGAAUAUGGCGCCGUCGAUUAAAGAUGAAGCUCUGCCUAUUUGAUGGCAGAAAGGGGAGUUUAUUUGUUGCGGCGCUUUUAGGACGGUUUAUAUGGGGAUUAAUACUGAUUCUGGGAAUUACUUGUUGUUAAGCAGGUUUCGAUUGUAUGAACCAAUACGCGGGUUUCCGGCAGCAGCGCAGCCGGAAAUCAUGAGAAACGCCGAGAAAGACAACCACUACGCCUCCUUCGUCUCCAAUGCUUGUCGCGAUGCUUUCUGCCAUCUCUUCAGUUGAGGAUGUUAUUUUCAAAUUCAAAGAAAUGCAUGGGAAAAUGGAUUUUGCAAUUUUACUUGGAUCAUGUGAGAAUAUCAUGAACUAUUGUCUUGACUCCACUAAGGUACGCACAAACCAUAGAGUACUAAGAUAGUUCUUCUUCUAGUAUCUUUGUCCUGCUGUAAUUUUAUACUUCACCUUUUUCACAAUCUCUUGUUUAUUUCCAUUUGAGCAUUGCAUUAUAAAAUCAGCUUGUGUGACUUCCUUCCUUUCUUCUCUGAAAAUAAUUAUAUUGGUAUGCUUUCUUUCAAGCUGUAGUUUUCACGUCAGUUAUGGUCAUUUCAUUUAAUUCAUUCCUAACUUUAUGUGAAGUAGUGUAAAUAUGUAAUGGUUGGAUCUGGUAAUUAUAUUAUUGUAGUACCGACCUUAUCAUUUUGAUUGUUAAACUUAUGGUGAAAUGUGUGAAAGAACGUUAUAACCCGUGGGUUUCCUGUUUUUAGUAAUUUAAAGCACCGCUAUGAUAUUUGGUAUAAUGGGUACAUUUCUCUGCAAUUGUUGGUUAAUGAUGGUCAAAGCUUAUUGUCACUUAUCUUUGUUAUUCUAGGAUGUCAAUGUUUAUGUUGAUAUUUCUAAUGUUAGUGUUAAAGAAGUUUUGCCAAUGAAGUUUUCAAAAGCCUAUUAGCUCAAAUGGUAGAGCAAUGUGCUAUUGCACAUAGAUAUAGGUUCAAGUCCUACAUAGGUUGUAUUUAUAAUAGCAAGUGUAAAUUUAAUGAGGAAAAAGAAAAUAAAUUAUAUUUUUGGCAUCGUUAUUGAAGAAUUAUACUUUUCAAAAAAUUACUUUACGCGUCGCCUCAUAAAAAGUAGGAGACUCAUAAAAUACACCUAACACGUCGCUUAUAAUGAAAAAGGCGAUUCAUAAACCAACCUAACACAUCACCUAUAAUGAAAAAGGUGACUCAUAAACCAACCUAACACAUCACCUGUAAUGAAAAAGGCGACUCAUAAACCAACCUAACACAUCACCUGUAAUGAAAAAGGCGACUCAUAAACCAACCUAACACAUCCCCUGUAAUGAAAAAGGCGACUCAUAAACCAACCUAAUGCGUCAGGUCAUAGGCGACACGUAAGGGGGGUACCUAUUGUGUUGGUGCCUGUAGUGUCACCCUUGAAGCGAUGUAUAAGAUGGUUUAGAGGCGACUCGAUAGGGGUUUUUUGUAGUAGUGAAAUUCAUCAUCAAUUACACACUAAACACCAAUUUACAUAUCUUUAAAGAUUAGAAUUUAAGCAAACACUGAGCAACAUCACAAGCUACACUGUACAUGUACCCACAAUCCAUGAAAAUGUUGACUUAUGCAUAUUAAUAUAUGAAAAGAAUAAAACUUUAGCAACCUAGUAGUUAUACUAUGUAAAUUGAGCAUAAUUCAGAGCUAAAUCCUACACCACUUCGAAAUUCUCCACCAAAUCAAACACAUUUCUCAAACAUACAUACAUUUCCUUAAACUUAACAAUUUAAACCAAAAUUCCCAAAAUUCAAGUAAGAAAUAAGAACUAACCUUUAGAAUUGCAGAAAAACGCUUAAUCUUCAACGAUCGUCCUUCACUCUUGCAUCAGUUAGGGUUGCUCAAAAGAAGAAGAACAGGGGAGAGUGUGACAGAAGUUGAACGAUCAAAAAAUUUGGAACUAUUAAAUGGUGUUGGUUGGGCCUGGGGGGUAUUAAUGAGGGGGGUAUUUUUGUCAACUCAAGUUAGUGUCAAAUAGCCCAUUAACCGUGUUAACUAAACAUACUAAACGUUUGUU